UUGGGCAUGAUUCUUUCCAAGCUGUCAGCAGAGAGAAGCAAAGGAAUCACUUCCCAACCUCUGAUCUCCCAAGUAUCCUUAAUGGGCAUGCAUCCAGACGUUUUCAUUAAUUUUUCAGAUGCACAACCUGGUCCUUUGUGUGCUGCUCUCGUGGUGUGAUUUGCUCCAGGUUUGUGCCUCAAGCUCCAUUUCUCUGUCCAUGGGUGCAUGGCCUCACUACAGAUUUCAAAGGAACUGUGUGAUGCUACCUGCAGAGAAAAGCAGUUUUCCUAACAGAAUCACUGUUCAAAGUGCAUCCAUAAAGAGGAAUCAAGGAUUGUGAAAAAAGAAAAAA